GAAAAUGAUGAGAUACAUCUGGAAUCUCGUUCGUCUGAACUCCUGUUGAGAAAUAAAAUAUCUGACAUCA
rnacentral:snoRNA from 1 species